rnacentral:lncRNA from 1 species
AGUAACCCAUACUUACCAUCUAACUAGACUUUAAAUAAAAUGUGCAUUGGGCUUUUAAUUUUACGAUCAUAAACAAUCUAUAGUUUAAUUUCAUUGGAUAAAAUCACAAUCCGAUUUUAUUAAAUACAAAUCAUAUAAUUAAUAAAAAUCUAAAUUUUAAUAAAAUUUUCUAACAAUGCAUUGACUUAAAAUUAAGAAGUGUGAUGGG